rnacentral:rRNA from 1 species
UACCAUCAUUCAGUUGGGGACUCUAAAGAUACUGCCCCGGUCAACGGGGAGGAAGGUGGGAUGACGUCAAGUCCUUAUGGCCCUUAUGUCCAGGGCUACACACGUGCUACAAUGGGCAGUACAAAGGGUAGCAAGCCUGCGAAGGUGAGCCAAUCUCAAAAAGCUGUUCGUAGUUCGGAUUGGAGUCUGCAACUCGACUCCAUGAAGCUGGAAUCGCUAGUAAUCGCAGAUCAGCACGCUGCGGUGAAUACGUUCCCGGGCCUU